UUGAGGUUGCUUAGAACUAGAAAUUAAUAAAAAUAUAAUAUGAAUAACUAUAUUCAGCCUAGAAAAACCAAAACUGUAAGGUAACUAUCUUGGAAGAUAACAUUUGUUUGAGAAUCCCAGUAUUGGUAAUAUUUUCAAAUACCAUAAUCAGUUUCCCAAAACAAUUACCUUAAAGUCUACCUUCCUCAAAAAUAUGUCUGUGGGUGGGCCAGUGAUGUCACAAAAAUAGCAGCCACAAUUGUAGUCACAUUCCCUGUCCUGGCCUCCUCUUACCCCACCAGAGAUAUGAUUAAUACUAGACUUAAAGAUAUAUAUAUGAGGUUAUAUAUAAUUAUAUAUACAUAUAAACACAUGUAAAUAAAGAAGGGAAAACAUUCAUGGCUCUACAUUAACUUUGGACCUUUCUGUGGCUUUCCUUUCAGCUUGAAUAUAGCCCCAACAGCUGAUCAAUUUUUCGGUUUCAAAUUGCAAUUGUUCUGAGAAACGGAUGGGCUUGUCCCAUCUUUGGGCCAAAUUUCUCCGUCAGUCCUUCUACAGCCACUGGCCUGCCUCGGAGUGAGGUGUCCCCGGUGCCUUGCCCUCCUCGGUCCGCUCAGCAGCUGUCCCUGGACAACCUCCUGGUCCCCCCCGCGUGGCCAGGCAGCGCUGGGGCCACGAGGGACAAAGCAGGACGGCGCGGCCGACUCCUCCGCAGGAAGUGGAGCCUCGUGUCUUCGUCAAAUCCAGACUGUGCAUGUACGGUGGCCGGCCCGGUUAUGGGCGCUUGGGGCUUUGUUCACGUGCGUGAGCAAAGAGCCCCCAGUCCUUGCGGGGGGGAUGCCCGCUUCCAGGAAGUCGCCGCCAGUUUCCUCGGAAGAUGCUGAGCUUGGCAGACGCCUUGUGUCACUCACGCCGACUCUCCUCUUCCACCUCGUCAUGGCGGGCUCCCACGCGGGGAAAACAAACGAAGUCACGCGUGAACUCAAGUGGUGCGGGAGCCCGAGUGACCGUCAUUGUUUAAUCUAAUUGCGCCUCCCCUUCAGGAAAAUUUCUCCUCCAUUCUUCCCACUGUCGGCGGAGAGCUCAGGGAAUUUAAAUCAAUUUAAAGAGGAGACUGAGUGAAACAUAAUUAGGAAGGUAUCUUUUAUUAACCAGAAGCCUCUGAUACCUAGAGAAAAACUCUAAAAAGGAUGUCUUCUUUAAAGUCCAGUUGCUUGAACCUGCAGAUGCAGAACCAGUGGUUCCAGUGGGCCAUCUGAAUAGCCGACCCUGGGAUUUAAUGAGCAUCCAAACAAUGUUAGCUAUUAG